rnacentral:rRNA from 1 species
UUGAGCGCUGGCGGCAGGCCUAACACAUGCAAGUCGAGCGGAUGAAGGGAGCUUGCUCCUGGAUUCAGCGGCGGACGGGUGAGUAAUGCCUAGGAAUCUGCCUGGUAGUGGGGGAUAACGUCCGGAAACGGGCGCUAAUACCGCAUACGUCCUGAGGGAGAAAGUGGGGGAUCUUCGGACCUCACGCUAUCAGAUGAGCCUAGGUCGGAUUAGCUAGUUGGUGGGGUAAAGGCCUACCAAGGCGACGAUCCGUAACUGGUCUGAGAGGAUGAUCAGUCACACUGGAACUGAGACACGGUCCAGACUCCUACGGGAGGCAGCAGUGGGGAAUAUUGGACAAUGGGCGAAAGCCUGAUCCAGCCAUGCCGCGUGUGUGAAGAAGGUCUUCGGAUUGUAAAGCACUUUAAGUUGGGAGGAAGGGCAGUAAGUUAAUACCUUGCUGUUUUGACGUUACCAACAGAAUAAGCACCGGCUAGCUUCGUG